rnacentral:other from 1 species
UACAUCCUGCGGUGUUCGUUACGGCUUUACGUUGUUUUGAACCAAUGGCUGUUUCACGGGAGUUCUAUAUCGAAGCGUAGCUGUCAUGCCCCCGAAAAGGGACUUCAAAAUCGCUUCUGCGGACACCCACCUGCGAAAGCGGGUUCUGAAACAUGUGAGUCGGACGGCAUCGGCGGGUUUUAA